ACGGGGAAGGGGGGACCCGCCGCUCGGUUGGGCGCUGAUCGGCUCGCCGGUACCCUCCGUCUCCCGGUAGAACCUGUUGCGACCCCCUCGGCUGGGAGCUCCGAGGGCAGGUGCACGCACCACCCGGCUCCUUAUUCUUUACGAGGCCGGUGGGUUUGACACCGUGGGGUUAGAGAGGAGCUGGGGGGAAGCAGGAAGGUUGGAGACGUGCGUGACCGUGACACACCGGUUGUGUGGUCGCCCUAAAAAUACCCCUGAUGGACCCGCGGGCGAUUCUUGCCCAGCAGAAACACAGCCGUCGAACCAGGCGACGUUUGGGGGUUUUCCCCCACUCUUUGAUUUCGUGAGUUCUAUGGGCGGAUGAGCUCUCUUCUCAUGCUUCGGACAGCAGAUGCCUUCGCGGUGAUGAUUUUCUGGGGGAGAGUGCUAUUCCCUCGGGACUCUACCCCUCCUGCUUCACCCAACCCACGCACGGUCUCUGCUUGCGGGGGAGCUCCCUGCAGAGUGGGGAGCGCAGGUAAUGCCUGAGGAAAGCUCUGAGCGAAUAAAAUAAAUUCCCUUAGUGUGGUGUCUUUCUUGAAGCGUUCCCUGAAUGCCGGGCUUUCCUCUCCUCUCCAACUUCACCGCCAGAUCUCCGUCCCACGUCGCUGCUCUUGGGACAGAACACGGUGCUUGCUCAUCUUCCGUGGGCUCUCCGUGGGGACUGUGGCUACUCUUUGCUCCUUCUGCUGUGGUUGCAAGAAAAGAAAAAAAAAAAGAAAAAAAGAAAAAAAGAAAAAGGAGAGAGAGAGAAGAAAAUAGUAAAAGGGAAAGAAAAAAAAAUAUUAUCCAAAAUUACGUAGUUCGAAGAUGGACUGUGUGGAGUGUCGGAUUGGUUUUUUGCAUACAAAAUCCCUGGCACAAGUAAGCUCUUUUAACAGCCUUGUAACUGAUUGUCUAAAAACUGACUGGUGAUAGAAAGUAGUAAAUAGUGGAAAUAAAGGAUAGAUCCAAACUGUGAA